GGAGCGAAGUCUUUGAUUCCCCGCUGCCAAGAAAAGCUUCUAGCGAGAUAAAAGGUGCCUGUACCGCAAACCGACACAGGUAGGCGAGGAGAGAAUCCUAAGGUGUGCGAGAGAACUCUGGUUAAGGAACUCGGCAAAAUGACCCCGUAACUUCGGGAGAAGGGGUGCUUUCUUAACGGAAAGCCGCAGUGAAUAGGCCCAAGCGACUGUUUAGCAAAAACACAGCUCUCUGCGAAGCCGUAAGGCGAAGUAUAGGGGGUGACACCUGCCCGGUGCUGGAAGGUUAAGGAGAGGGGUUAGCGUAAGCGAAGCUCUGAACUGAAGCCCCAGUAAACGGCGGCCGUAACUAUAACGGUCCUAAGGUAGCGAAAUUCCUUGUCGGGUAAGUUCCGACCCGCACGAAAGGUGUAACGAUUUGGGCACUGUCUCAACCAGAGACUCGGUGAAAUUAUAGUACCUGUGAAGAUGCAGGUUACCCGCGACAGGACGGAAAGACCCCGUGGAGCUUUACUGUAGCCUGAUAUUGAAUUUUGGUACAGUUUGUACAGGAUAGGCGGGAGCCAUUGAAACCGGAGCGCUAGCUUCGGUGGAGGCGCUGGUGGGAUACCGCCCUGACUGUAUUGAAAUUCUAACCUACGGGUCUUAUCGACCCGGGAGACAGUGUCAGGUGGGCAGUUUGACUGGGGCGGUCGCCUCCUAAAGUGUAACGGAGGCGCCCAAAGGUUCCCUCAGAAUGGUUGGAAAUCAUUCGUAGAGUGCAAAGGCAUAAGGGAGCUUGACUGCGAGACCUACAAGUCGAGCAGGGACGAAAGUCGGGCUUAGUGAUCCGGUGGUUCCGCAUGGAAGGGCCAUCGCUCAACGGAUAAAAGCUACCCCGGGGAUAACAGGCUUAUCUCCCCCAAGAGUCCACAUCGACGGGGAGGUUUGGCACCUCGAUGUCGGCUCAUCGCAUCCUGGGGCUGUAGUCGGUCCCAAGGGUUGGGCUGUUCGCCCAUUAAAGCGGUACGCGAGCUGGGUUCAGAACGUCGUGAGACAGUUCGGUCCCUAUCCGUCGUGGGCGUAGGAAAUUUGAGAGGAGCUGUCCUUAGUACGAGAGGACCGGGAUGGACGCACCGCUGGUGUACCAGUUGUUCUGCCAAGGGCAUAGCUGGGUAGCUAUGUGCGGAAGGGAUAAGUGCUGAAAGCAUCUAAGCAUGAAGCCCCCCUCAAGAUGAGAUUUCCCAUAGCGUAAGCUAGUAAGAUCCCUGAAAGAUGAUCAGGUUGAUAGGUUCGAGGUGGAAGCAUGGUGACAUGUGGAGCUGACGAAUACUAAUAGAUCG
rnacentral:rRNA from 1 species